GGGGACGCCUUGGUUUCGACUGCUCUGUUGCAGCAGUAAUUGCAUGCCGAUUGCGCUGGCACAUCGUAAAAAUGUCAGGCCUAAAUGUAAUUGCAGAUGAAAAUCUAGCACUAGCUGCCUAAUAGUGUAGCUACGUCUUAUUGGUUGCCUUCCUUCGGCGGCUUAUCGGACGUCAUUAAUGAAGGAUAGUCUGUCUCAUCUUCACUCGUGAGCCGGGCGAAUUUAUAGAGUGAUCGGUUUCAGGUAGGGUCUUCUGUCCUCCGGCCUGUCUCUUAAAUUUAAUGGAUAGAAUAAGCAUGUAGACGUUGCUGUUGUGAAUUGCAGGACGCGGGUUCGAUCCCCGCCGUCUCCACAG
rnacentral:tmRNA from 1 species